rnacentral:rRNA from 1 species
UACGAAGGGGGCUAGCGUUGCUCGGAAUCACUGGGCGUAAAGCGCACGUAGGCGGAUUCCUAAGUCGGUGGUGAAAUCCUGGAGCUCAACUCCAGAACUGCCUCCGAUACUGAGAGUCUUCGAGUCCGGGAGAGGUGAGUGGAACUGCGAGUGUAGAGGUGAAAUUCGUAGAUAUUCGCAAGAACACCAGUGGCGAAGGCGGCUCUCUGGGACGGUACUGACGCUGAGACGCGAAAGCGUGGGGAGCGAACAGG